UACGAAGGGGGCUAGCGUUGUUCGGAAUUACUGGGCGUAAAGCGCGCGCAGGCGGGUCUUCAAGUCAGAGGUGAAAGCCCAGAGCUCAACUCUGGAAUGGCCUUUGAGACUAGAGAACCUGGGUACGGGAGAGGUGAGUGGAAUUCCGAGUGUAGAGGUGAAAUUCGUAGAUAUUCGGAAGAACACCAGUGGCGAAGGCGGCUCACUGGCCCGUUACCGACGCUCAGGCGCGACAGCGUGGGGAG
rnacentral:rRNA from 1 species